AAGGGGGCUAGCGUUGCUCGGAAUGACUGGGCGUAAAGGGCGCGUAGGCGGAUGGCACAGUCAGAUGUGAAAUUCCCGGGCUUAACCUGGGGGCUGCAUUUGAUACGUGUUGUCUUGAGUUCGGAAGAGGGUCGUGGAAUUCCCAGUGUAGAGGUGAAAUUCGUAGAUAUUGGGAAGAACACCGGUGGCGAAGGCGGCGACCUGGUCCUUUACUGACGCUGAGGCGCGAAAGCGUGGGGAGCAAACAGG
rnacentral:rRNA from 1 species